rnacentral:lncRNA from 1 species
UGGACAUUUCCCUGUACCUAAUCGACACAUUCCUGAUACCUUCUGCUCUGUUGAUUGUCCUGAGCCCUCUGCCUCUAUAAUGUGCUUAGUCACUUCCUUCUGGACUCCUUACCCAGCCCCUGGAAUAUAGACAGAAACAAACAGGACAGCACAGCUCAGUUCUGCCCUGCUCCUCUCUGGAUGUCUCCCUCCAGCACAGAGAGGGUGUCCUUCUGUCCCUCCAGCACAGCAAGGGUGUCCUUCUGUCCUUCUGUCCUACUUAUUUCUUCUCACUGUGCAUGCACCGUCUUCAGUGCUGGGCAAAACAUGAUCGUAUCUCCAAGACCGAUCUGGAUGUGUUAGAGGAGGAUGCUGGGAGCCAGAAGUUAGAAUUUUCCUUUCUUUCACAAUGAAGUCUCACAGAUGAUUGAUUGCCAAUAUCCAGUUUGGGAAGUCAGAAGUUUGCCUCUUUCUGCAUUCUUGGUAACAAUAUAGUAACUCCAGCAUUUCUCAAGGCAAUCAAUGGAUAUCUCUAGUUGAGUAUGAAAUAUGAGAAGGCUCAGUCUUCAAGAAAUUAAAUAAUGAAAUAUGAAUUCAUAAUGUAAUACUUGUCUGUCCAACACAGUUGCUCCAAAUGUACCUUAGAUGGCAUUAUUUAUUAUUUUAUUGUAUGUGUGUGGAGAUUGUGCCAGUGUAGAUGUCUGAGCACUACAUGCAUGCCUGAUGCUGUAGAGGCCAGGUGGGACACUGAAUCCCCUGUGAUCUAGAGUUGCUAGUCAACAUGUGGGUGCUGAGAAUUGAACCUGAGUCCUCUGGAAGAGCAGCCAGUGCUGUUGUCAUCUCUCUAGCCAUCCUCUCCCAUUUUGGGUGGAUUACCUUCAAAGACAGUUCUGAAGUCUCACACACACACACACACACACACACACACACACACACAAUCAGUCAUUACUUUAUAAUUAUAACUGAUUUAUUGUUCUAAAAUAAUGUUUUACUCAAUUUAAUCAACAGUUUUCUUUCCUAUAUGUGACUCCAAAUGACUUUUUCAACUUGACAGAUGUCUCCUCACUCUGGACAUCUAGUUCACCCCUUGUAAUUCCAGCACCCAGGAAACACAGGCAAGAAAAUUUCAAGUUCAAAGUCUGUAUGUAGUGAGUUAAAAGCUAGGCUGAACUGCAUAGCAACCAAGAACCUGUCUCAAAAUAGCAAAGGCUUAGGAUAGAACUCAGUGAUAAAACACAAGGCCCAGAGCUUGCUUUCCAGUGUUUAAAAGAAAGAAGCCCCACACAAAAAUAAUGAUUCUUUUUUUUUCCUUGUAGCUAGUCAAUAGAAUGUC